rnacentral:rRNA from 1 species
GACGAGCCACCCAAACGUUAUUCGGAAUUACUGGGCUUAAAGGGUGCGUAGGCGGUGCGGAAAGUAGGGUGUGUAAUCCCUCGGCUCAACCGAGGAACAGCGCUCUAAACUACCGUGCUUGAGGGAGAUAGAGGUAAGCGGAACUUCGGGUGGAGCGGUGAAAUGCGUUGAUAUCCGGAGGAACACCGGUGGCGAAGGCGGCUUCCUGGACCGACACUGACGCUGAGGCGCGAAAGCUAGGGGAGCAAACGGG